rnacentral:rRNA from 1 species
ACGGGUGAGUAACACGUAUGCAAUCCACCUGUAACAGGGGGAUAACCCGGAGAAAUCCGGACUAAUACCCCAUAAUAUGGGCGCUCCGCAUGGAGAGCCAUUAAAGAGAGCAAUCUUGGUUACAGACGAGCAUGCGCUCCAUUAGCCAGUUGGCGGGGUAACGGCCCACCAAGGCGACGAUGGAUAGGGGUUCUGAGAGGAAGGUCCCCCACAUUGGAACUGAGACACGGUCCAA